CUGUGCCUCACCUGCUCUGAAAAGUGGGGAAAUAAGAAGCCCCACCUCAGAAGGAUGUUGUGAUACAUGUAAAGCACUGUAUGCAGGUCCUGGCAAAGGAUGGUUAAAAUGAAGAAAUAAAAACAAGAAAGUAACUGGAAUUACAAUAUCAAGAAUUGAAGCAACUGGAACUCUCAUGAAGGAUACCAGGAUCACCUGUGGAAUUCACAUCCUUUGGACUACUUGAGAUUCCCUACCACGUCUACAUGGUCCAAUCCUCACUGAGACUCACCUUCCAGUCCA
rnacentral:lncRNA from 1 species